rnacentral:rRNA from 1 species
CUAGUUGGUGGGGUAAUGGCCUACCAAGGCGACAAUCCGUAGCUGGUCUGAGAGGACGACCAGCCACACCGGAACUGAGACACGGUCCGGACUCCUACGGGAGGCAGCAGUGGGGAAUAUUGGACAAUGGGGGAAACCCUGAUCCAGCGACGCCGCGUGUGUGAAGAAGGCCUGCGGGUUGUAAAGCACUUUUAGUGGGGACAAAAAGCUACGGAUUAAUACUCUGUGGUCUUGAUUUAACCCAAAGAAAAAGCACCGGCUAACUCUGUGCCAGCAGCCGCGGUAAUACAGAGGGUGCGAGCGUUAAUCGGAAUUACUGGGCGUAAAGCGCGCGUAGACGGUUUUGUAAGUCAGAUGUGAAAUCCCUGGGCUCAACCUGGGAACUGCAUUUGAGACUGCAUGGCUAGAGUAUCGAAGAGGGAAGUGGAAUUUCCGGUGUAGCGGUGAAAUGCGUAGAUAUCGGAAGGAACACCAGUGGCGAAAGCGACUUCCUGGUCGAAUACUGACGUUCAUGUGCGAAAGCGUGGGGAGCAAACAAGAUUAGAUACCCUGGUAGUCCACGCCAUAAACGAUGACAACUAGAUGUUGGGAGGGUCUGCCUCUCGGUGUCGCAGCUAACGCGUUAAGUUGUCCGCCUGGGGAGUACGGCCGCAAGGUUGAAACUCAAAGGAAUUGACG